UACGUAGGGUGCGAGCGUUAAUCGGAAUUACUGGGCGUAAAGUGUGCGCAGGCGGCGUCGCAAGUCGAGUGUGAAAGCCCCGAGCUUAACUUGGGAACUGCGCUCGAAACUACGGUGCUGGAGUAUGGCAGAGGAAGGUGGAAUUCCACGUGUAGCGGUGAAAUGCGUAGAGAUGUGGAGGAACACCGAUGGCGAAGGCAGCCUUCUGGGCCAAUACUGACGCUCAUGCACGAAAGCGUGGGGAGCAAACAGGAUUAGAUACCCUCGUAGUCC
rnacentral:rRNA from 1 species